rnacentral:tRNA from 2 species
GUAGCUAUAGCUCAACUGGAUAGAGCAUCUGGCUACGAACCAGAAGGUUGCAGGUUCGAGUCCUGUUAGCUGCACCA